rnacentral:lncRNA from 1 species
GGAGGAGUUUUGCUCUAAGAGAUUCUCCCUGGACAGUCAGGAUUUUCGUGGAGAAAAUCUUUGGCAUCCAGGUAGAGGAUUUACUUGGAGUAACCUGAUUUCCCUGAGUCCAGUCAUCAUCUGGCAGUGGUCCAUCUACCAGGAUUCCUAUUGGCUAAGAAUGUCAAUCCUAUUGCAAAAAUUGGAAACUAUUUGAGAAGAGAUGACUGAGAAGGGUGGGAACAAAGCUGACAACUCAUAGCAGAGAAAGAAAAUAUUUGGUUGUCUUGGAAGAGAAGAAGUAUGUGUAAUAAAUCACCACAUAGAACAGGGAAAAAUGCUGCUCUGCGUCUGCGUCUGCGCUGUCUUGCUGGGGAAAGAGCUGUCCAGGAUUUCAGCAGCCUAGCAGACAUUCAGAGUCGGAGCUGUCCAGACUUUCCCGUUUGGCGUUUAGGAUCUUCGAACUGCUUGUAUACAGAUCAUUUUGAAGGAGAGUCGAAACAGGAAGUUACUAAGGUAAGUUCACUUUUUAAAUAUGAAAGAAAACUAGAGAAACAGAACUACGAGAUUACUAUUAACUUAGGGAGAUGCAAAAGGAACAACAAAUGCUCAAUAAACGCAGCAGUAUUUGCAGUGGUAAAUGCAGUCGUAGAAAGACGACAUUUGGUUGGUUUCUGA